rnacentral:rRNA from 1 species
AUACGUAGGGGGCGAGCGUUGUCCGGAAUGAUUGGGCGUAAAGGGCGCGUAGGCGGCGCGGUAAGUCUGGAGUGAAAGUCCUGCUUUCAAGAUGGGAAUUGCUUUGGAUACUGUCGGGCUUGAGUGCAGGUGAGGUAAGUGGAAUUCCCAGUGUAGCGGUGAAAUGCGUAGAGAUUGGGAGGAACACCAGUGGCGAAGGCGACUUACUGGACUGUAACUGACGCUGAGGCGCGAAAGUGUGGGGAGCAAACAGGAUUAGAUACCCUGGUAGUCCACACUGUAAACGAUGAAUGCUAGGUGUAGGGGGUAUCGACCCCUUCUGUGCCGCAGUCAACACAAUAAGCAUUCCGCCUGGGGAGUACGGCCGCAAGGUUGAAACUCAAAGGAAUUGACGGGG